rnacentral:rRNA from 1 species
GCCAGCCCGCUCAGAAACUCAAAUGAAUUGACGGGGCCCGCACAAGCGGUGGAGUAUGUGGUUUAAUUCGAUGCAACGCGAAGAACCUUACCUGGUCUUGACAUCCCGGAGACCCUUAGGAAACUAGGGGGUGCUUCCAUCUGGAAGAAUCUGGAGACAGGUGCUGCAUGGCUGUCGUCAGCUCGUGUCGUGAGAUGUUGGGUUAAGUCCCGCAACGAGCGCAACCCUUGCCUUUAGUUGCCAGCAGUUCGGCUGGGCACUCUAAAGGGACUGCCGGUGUUAAACCGGAGGAAGGUGGGGAUGACGUCAAGUCCUCAUGGCCUUUAUGACCAGGGCUACACACGUACUACAAUGGCCGAUACAAAGGGCAGCGACACUGCGAGGUGAAGCCAAUCCCGUAAAAUCGGUCUCAGUCCGGAUUGGAGUCUGCAACUCGACUCCAUGAAGUUGGAAUCGCUAGUAAUCGUGGAUCAGCACGCCACGGUGAAUACGUUCCCGGGCCUU